rnacentral:rRNA from 1 species
AGCUCCGAUAGCGUAUAUUAAAGUUGCUGCGGUUAAAAAGCUCGUAGUUGUACUUCAGUUCAUUCCAAGCGGUCCACCUCACUGGUGGCUACUGCUUGGAUGAACAUCCAGCCGAUUUGCUUACUGAUGCCCUUAACCGAGUGUCAGUAUCGAUCGGUACUUUUACUUUGAAAAAACUAGAGUGCUCAAAGCAGGCUCUAAAUUGCCAGAAUAUUCUUGCAUGGAAUAAUGGAAUAGGACUUCGGUUCUAUUUUGUUGGUCUCCUGAACCUGAAGUAAUGAUUAAGAGGGACAGACGGGGGCAUUCGUAUUGCGGCGCUAGAGGUGAAAUUCUUGGACCGUCGCAAGACGAACUACAGCGAAAGCAUUUGCCAAGAAUGUUUUCA